CUCCAUCCCUCUCUCUCCAUCCCUCUCUCCUCCCUCUCUUUCUCCCACUUCCACCUUCCUCCUCUCUAACAAACUUCCCACGACUCCACUGUUCACGUCGCCCCCCCACGGCCGCGCUGGAAACUGCAUGGAGCCGCCAGCCCCCCGGCGGUGGAGGGUGGAUGUGCAGGCACCCGGGGUUGGGCGAGUUUAGCCCCAGAGACACGGACUCUCCUUCCAGUCCCUCUCUCCACUAUUCCAGUGCUCCCUCUCAUAAUGCGCAAGGAGCAUUACGUGCAGUUUUGGUCUCCCUGCGAGAGGAAGGAUGAGCUGAAAAAGGCGCAGAUAAGUUGUACUUGGAUGUUACCAGGACACGGUGGCCUGAGCUUUUAGGGAGGCGUUGAGGAGUGUAUUCCUUGGAGCGCAGGAGGAUGAGAACUGAUCUUAUAGGGAGGUUUCACGGCAGUCGGGUCACGACCCAUGACCCGUACUGUUGCUACGCUACGCCAAGUGGAGUACACGCGAUGAACUGCAGAUAAUCUCAAUCUCAAAAAUUAUGAGGCUGGACAUUCAGAUCUUUUUUCCCAGGAUGGAAAAUUCAAACACUAGAGGGCAUAGCUUCAAGGGUAUGAAACAACUUGCACAAGAUGACGGGCUGAUCUGCAGUAUUCAUACUGUGGCAACGAAAGUUCCAAACAAUAUCCGUGGCUGCCUCCAUCAAAACUGGAGUUGGACCACAGAGCAAUCCAUUGCAUGUGUGAUUAUUGCAAGUAUUGAUAAAUAUUGUUGUGUAUGGUGUAAAAUAUUCAUGUAACCAGUUCAGUGGAAUUGUGUGUAAGCAAGAACUGCAGAUGCUGGAUAAAAUCGAAGGUAGACACAAAAUGCUGGAGUAACUCAGCGGGUGAGGCAGCAUC